CCUGCUUGAUGAUUCUGAUGCUGUCGUAUGCUCGUAAGGCGUUAAUGCUCGGUUGAAAGUUAUCUUCUUCCGGGUUAUCGUCUCGGAAAGUUCUUCGAAACUGGGGAUAAAACGUUUUGUAAAGAUUAGUACCCUCGUCAUAGUAGGUCUUGAUUCCUAAAAUGCCUUGCAUGGAAGAAAUCACAGAACUGUUAAAAGAAUCGAAGUAACUCGAGAUGGUAUCCGUAAUGAUCCAAGCUGAGUCUCUUCCAACAAGUCCAAUGUCCUUUGCUUUCUCAAACAAAUGGAUUGUCAUCGGUAAUGACGAUUGAAGAACAAUGUAAACCCGAGAUUGAACGUUGAAUAAUUUUAUCAACUCAUCUUGCACAACUUUAUUUGGAUUAGAAACAGAAGAAAGUGGAGGAAGAACCAAUCGAUAUUCAAUCUCGGAACCAACAUCGCGUAGAGCCUCCGAUAAAAGAGCUAACUUCCCAGAAUCACCACCAAAGGCAUCAUCUUCAUAAAUUACAACAACCCUUUUCCAGUUAAAUGAACUGAUAGUAGCUGCAAUGCAUUUCAUUUGUUCGGAGUCACCAUUAGCCAUUGCUACCAAGAAAGGCCAACGAGUGGGUGUUAUUAUAGCUGGUGCUGCAAAUGAAAGAACCGGAACUCGAGCUCGGCUUCCUAUAUCAGCAACCAAAGCUGCUUCUUCCCAUGUUUCCAACCCAAUGAUUGCUUUAACUUCUUGUUCUUCAAUCAAUUUCUUAGCUGUAAUCAGAUUAACCAUUAGUAAAUGUUAAAUAAACCUCGUUGACAUACUAAUUAAGGGAUCACUAAAAAGAAUGAAUCACUAACCAGCAGUAGCUGCAAGUAAGGGAUCUCUUCUAGAAUUCUGAAUAUAAAGGGAGAGCUUAUGGUUGUUUGAAACGUUGUUAUUGAAACUCUGAACUGCUAUUUCCAAAGCUGUUUUCUCUUCUUUUCCGAUUCGAGAAUCGACGUCGAUGAUGGCACCGAUGUUAGUCACCUUGUUAUCGGUCUCGUCACCAUAUGAAGAAACGAGAAAGAGAGAUAUGAACACAAAAGUGAUACAAGGUCGUUGCAUGUUGUUAGGGAACUCGUAAAAUAAUUGCAUAUAUGAUACAUAUAGGAACUCAAAGCGUUUAAAUAAUAAUGAAAAAAGAUUCGUUUAAAAGCCGUCACUAUGGAAAUUUAUGCCCCGGAACUUUUGGUCUAUAUGUUGGACUUGGUCUGCCAUGAAAAAAGUCAGCUAUGUUUACUUCGUUAAAUGAUAGAGAAUCUUCAUGAAACGCCCCCCUUUUCUUUUUCUGGUUUUCCUGCAAAUUGUGGAAAGUUAGAGAUUUGACCCAUGAAAACUAGGACCAAAAUCAUUUCUGGAAAAAAAAAAUUAACGGAUAAUGAUAAAUUUAAAUCUAAAUCUAAAUCUUUGUAUCUUUUAUUUUAUUUAUUUGAUUCUUAUUUCUUUUUAACUAAAUUUGAUUUUUAACUUUUUAAAAAAUGUAAAAUUAUCUUUUUAACGGAAAUACAACUAAAAUAAUCAUCUUUUAAAGGAAAAAUGCUCAAAUUAGGGCUUAACAAUUUAGAUAUUGCUCACAUUUCAAAAUGGUCAAAUGAGACCCUAACCUUUAUGAAAGUUUUCAAUAGGGAUUUUUCAUGUACUUCAAUCCAAUUUGUAGGAAAAAUUAAGUAAAUAUUGAUGUGUUUAGAAUAAAACAUGUAACACCUGCAUUAAAUAUUGCUUGAAAAGAAAAGAAAAGAAAAGAAAAGAAAAGAAAGUAGUUAGAACAUAACUUGGAACUUGAUAUACGGCAUUUGAGAAUCUCUUAUUUAAGCAGUUUUGAAAAUGUUAGGCCCUUAUUUGAUCAUUUUGAAAGGUUUGACUUUCAUUUAAGCACUUUUGUACAAGUUAUGCCAUUACAUGACCAUUUUAAAAAGUUUGAUCAUUAUAUGAGCAACCCUUAAAAGGUUGGGCCAAUUUAAGCAUUUAACAACUUUUUAAUGAUGUUGGCGUGGCAACUAGCAUAGUAAUCCAUGUUUACUCUAUGUUAAUAUGGCACUAUUUAUCUUAUGUCACGUCAAUAAAUAAUUAUAAAAUUAUAAAAAUAUUUAAAAAUAAGAAGUUAUAAAAAAAUUAAAGGUUUUAAUUAGUAGUUCCCUUAAAAAAUAAUAAUGUAACUCAUUUUUUGGAAGGUUGAUUGUCAAAUUUAGCUCUUUUUAAAAGGUUUAGAGUUAAAUUUAGCUAAAAAAUAAAAUAAAGGUUAAACUAACAAAAAGAUGUAAAGGUUAAGUACUAAACAUAUAUCAUUAUGCUAAAAAUAAACUUAUUGAUUUAUAUUAGAAGAAUAAAACAAAUGAAAUUAUGUUACAGGUAACAGUAUACAGUUGCAAGAGCCUUCAUUGCUCUUCUUCGGUCUUUUAACCUCCUGGAAUGUACAGCAUUUCAACAUCAGCAGCUUCGGAGGAGGCGGCUUCAUGAUUCUCGGCUGCAUCGGGACUCGAAUAUUUCCAUCUCGGAGAUCCUCGUCCAACAAUUUCCGGCAGUUGAGGCCGAGUUUGGUCUAUAGCAAAAUUAAUUUGUUGUCCUUGGUAUAUAAAUCUAGCAAGCCUAAUUGCCUUACUCCAGAUACUAUUAUUUCUUGGACUAGUAUUGCUUCCAUAUUGGUCUUUUAUUAUCUUGAUGAUGAAUAAGAAGAAACAAAUGGUAGAUGUUGCACCAGAGAUUAUAUAGAGACCCCAGAAGCUAUGAAGCCUCAGUCUUUCGGUUCGAUUGUCGGUCACACUGGUUGAACACUCGGGUGAGGGUGCAAACCACUUCUCUUCAAGAUCUUUCAGCGCUCCGUUUUCCGAUAGAGUUAGGAUAGCUUUUGAGAAGUCCAUGGCGAUUGGAGAGCCUUUAUGGAACAUCUGCAUAGGUAAGAUUUUGUUUAAGUCCAUGGUGCUGAAAUGGAUAGAAACAAGUUUGGAAAAUACUACUUACAAAUCCCAAUCCUCCAAAUCUGUAGGUUGGUGUGGUGGCUGAAAAUUUCUUACAGUAAUUGUUGAUGAAGACCUUUUCGUAUGGAAGUUCGAGAAAUGCAGCAGCGAUGUGCUUCUUUUCGAAUUCUCCUAUAUAGUUGUCUUGGCUGUUGAUUGUCUUGAUGUUCUCCGAUUUAAACUGAAGCACAUCGACUAGAUAGUUUCUUACGAACGAAUCUCCGUCGCAACCUACUUUCAAGUUGUUCCUCUUCAGAAAUUCGAUGUCUGUCACAUUCACUUUCAGUUUAUUAACUGUCAACAUCGAGGAAAGACUAGCCGUGUAACUCGAGGUUAGGACAAGUGAAACAAAGAGCCAAACAAUAACCACAACUCUGGUGAAGUUGUUUUGUACAUUCUCCCCUGCAAAAAAAUGAGCAUUACUUGUAUUGUGAGUAUGCUUGAAUGUUUUCAAUCGCAUGCAGUUUCUGGUACUUACUAUGCGCGAAGAAGAGAGAAGAGCAAGUGAACCACAUCGCGGUUCCGAUUUGAGUCUUCCAUGUGCCUUCAAAUUCAGGAUUGGACUGAUGUUCCAGGAACCAAACUAUGAACAUUGUGUAGAUCAACAUGGCACCAGUAGCCAUCCACAUCUCCCAUGUAAAAGGCUUCAUGAACAUCCAUGCUGAUUCUUCGGAUUUUGCUGGUACGAUCAUGGACAACCCCGAUUCUGCAUAUGGCUGAGUAAACUCCACAAGUUCUGCUCUGUUGGCUAGUAUCGUUAUAUCCCCAACAACAGCAUCGAAAGUCUUCCAUGUGAAGCAUUUGUUAGACAAGAUAAUGAUAAACAUUUAACAAGGACUUGGAAAUUAGUUGAAAGAGUUCCCAUUCAUUACCUUGUUAUGCACGCAACGGACCAAAUCAUCGUAAGUGCUGAAAUGCGGUACAAAUUUGUAAGGCAGGUCAUAACCGAGAACCUCUCGUGCCAUUUUGAAAAGAUCAAUGCAAUAACCUUCAGGUUCCUCAUUUUGAUUACUUUCAUUUUUAACUUUCACAAAUUUCUCAAAAGAGGUUCUACCAGGAACUCCGAUAAUCAAUGGCCUUGCAUCCGUAGGCAUCGCCCAUCCUUUCGGGUUUCGGACUUGGUUCAAGUCAGCAGGCCAGGUGACUUGACCAUACAAUCCUUGAGCUGUAUUACCAUCAUGUUCAGUUUCUUCAUUAACAAGGCUCCUUGAGAAUCCAAAGCUUGGCAACCAAAAGUCAAGCUCUUUAUAUUUCUUGCCAACCACGUUUACUAUUCUCAAUGUAGGAUUGUGUGACAACAUGCCCCUUUCAAAUUGGAUUUCUCCACUUAAACCAGUGAAAUUGCUUGACAGGAUUUUUUCAGACAAUUGUUUUGAACUGAUAUUAGUGUUGAUCAUUCCUUCCAUAGCCUCGGUGAUGAUUUGGAUUGCAUCGUAUGCUUUUAAAGCAUAAAUUCCGGGUUCAAAGUUGUCUUCGUCCUCGUACUUUUUUCGGAAAACUUGCUUGAACUGCCCAUAAAAGCUUUCGUACUCGCUACUAUUCUCGGUAUAAUAGGUCUUGAUUCCUAAAACACCUGCCAUGGAUGAAAUUAUGGAGGUGUUGAAAGAGUCAAGGUAAGUUGUGAUUUUAUCUGUGAUUAUCCAAGCUGAAUCUCUUCCCAUAAACCCCAUGUUCUUAGCUUCUUCAAACAAAUGAAUGGUCAUAACUGAUGAUGCUUUAAGCACAACAAAAACCCGAGAUUCAAGGCUAAGAAGCUUCAUUAGCUCCUCCUGCAUAACUUCUUUGGUAUUAGACAGAGAUGAAAUUGGUGGAAGAACCAAGGUAUGUUCGAUUUCGGAACCAAUAUCUUGUAAAGCUUCGAUUAGAACAGCUAAUUUCCCAGAAUCACCACCAUAUGUUUCAUCUUCAUAAAUGGCGAUGACCUUUUUCCAUCCAUAUGAACGAAUGAUAGCUGCAAUGCAUGUCAUUUCUUCAGAGUCAUUGUUAGCCAUUUGUGCCAAGAAAGGCCAACGGAGAGCCGACAAUGGCAACGUUAUAGAAGGUGCUGUAAACGAGAGAACUGGAACUCGAGCUCGUGUCCCGAUUUCAGCAACCGGAGCCGCUAAUUCCCAUGUUUCCAAGCCGAUAAUGACCGUCACGUUGUUCUCUUUAAUCAGCUUUUCGGCUGCAACAGAAUUAAUUCCUUGUUACCAUAACUUAAAAAACAAGCAAUCAAUGAAUCAAUACUAUGAACAAAUCUGGUACAUGAAAUUACUACAAACCUGCAGCAGCAGCUAGCAUGGGGUCUUUUCCAUGGCUCUGAACAUAGAGGGAUAGCCCGUGAUUGUUCAACUUAUUGUUGAAGCUUUGAACGGCGAUUUCCAUGGCGGUUAUCUCUUCCUUCCCAGUACGGGACGUAACAUCGAUUACGGCACCAAUGUUUGUAACUUUAUGAUCAUCCUCCUUAGCUUGAACUCCUUUAGAGAUGAUAUUGAUGCAUGAAAAUAAGAUCAGUACCAGGAUGACGAGCUGACGUAUUAAAACUGUAUCAAUGUUAGCCAUUGUAUGAAGUCUUUGCAUACUGUUUUGGAACAUAUUACAAAAUAUCUUGAAUCAUGAUAAAACCAAACUAUGCUUUUAAGUUGUUUUAUGCUGAAUAAAAUUUGUGGCUAUAGUUUUAUUAAGCAAUUAAGACAUGUUACGGAAACCCAAAUAUCUGGUCCAACUAAUGUAAUGAAAUGUCUUAAAGUUGAUCUUCUCAAAGGAAAAAAGUCAACUGCAUUUACCUUGCAACUCAAGUUAUCUUGAAUCUAGAUUGUAGGAGUUGACGUGGCUUGGUUUUGAUUCAGUAUUUCAAGAAGCAAGAAUAUUCUGACCAAACAGGAUACUUACUAGGAUUAAACUUGGAAGCGUGUUGGUAGGGGUGAUAAANNNNNNNNNNNNNNNNNNNNNNNNNNNNNNNNNNNNNNNNNNNNNNNNNNNNNNNNNNNNNNNNNNNNNNNNNNNNNNNNNNNNNNNCAAAAGAAAAUGAUCAAAAUAUAUAUAUUUUAAUUUAUAAUUAAUUUUAUAUUUUUUAAUUAAAACUUCUUGAAUUUUUAUAUAUUUUAGUUGGAUAAUUUUGUAUGUUAUGUAAUUCAUUUAAUUUUGUAAAAAUUAAUAUAAUAUAAAGUUUAUUAAAUAUUUUGUAUAAUAUGUAUUUCAUCGGGCACUUGGGCUUAGAUUUGUUCAUGGGUUGGGUCACUCAACCCGACCUAAAGGCCUAUUUGAAAAGUGAGAGGGUUUGGGUAAAAAUAUGAGUUCAAAAAAAUAAGGCCCAUUUAGAAAACAAGUCGAGCCUCGAGUAAGAUUUUUUUGGCCCUAGUCAGGCCUGACCCAAAAAUUCAAAAAAAGAUGAUAUUUUUUCACUAUUUUGCUAUCAUUUCAUUAUUAUGUUACUAUUAUGUUGUUGUUAUUGUAUAACUCUUAUUUUAUUGUUAAUUUUGUUACUAUUUUAAGGUAUUUGCUUGUUAAGUUGCACCUAUCUUAGUGCUAUUUAAGUAUAUAUAUAUUUAAAUUUAUUUUCAAUUUGUUGGGAAUUAUUUAUAUUAAUGUUUUUAGUAUUUUUUAUAUAUAUUUUAAAAAAAUAUAUAAAACUUUAAUAUAAAUAGGGCGGACUCGAGUUUUAACAUUUUUAUCCAAACUGAACUCAAGUAAAAUUUUAAGCCCACUUUUUAGGUCAGACUUGGCAAAUAAGUCUAAAAUUUUAGUUGUACUAACCUGACCGAUUGACACUUUUACUUGGGCUUAUUGAUUAAAGAUUUGACUUUUAGGCUGAAUUUAUCUAAAUUUAUAUAAAAAUUUAAUUUGUUUUUGAUAGAUUUGUAACAAAUGCCCAAUGAUUGUUGGGCUUGGAAACCCUAAACCGAAGCGAGAGCAAAGCUUAAUAAAAAGCCCGUUUAGUUACAUUACUGAAUUUCGAUUCAAUUUCCCUCGAAUCGGGAAAAGUAAAACUGAGCUUAAAAUUAUGGCGCAGUUCUGAAAACCGGGAACCGAGAAGCCCCGCCUCGUCGAGGACAAGGAUGGCGGUGUUAUUUUCUUGUCAUCUUCUUACUCUUCAUCUUCUUCUGGGUAUUUUUUCUCUCACUAUUUUUUAUUUAAUUUUUGUUCUUUGAUUGUUCUUCUUUUGUCUUUUCUCUUCCUUAUUUGUUUUUCCUUAUUUUACAGAUAUGGGUACGUGAGCAUUGAGAAGCAAAGACAGAGGCUUCCAGUUUAUAAGUAUAGAACUGCUAUUCUUUAUUUAGUGGAGUCUCACGCUACUACCAUUGUUGUUGGUGAAACGGGUAGUGGUAAAACCGCUCAAAUUCCACAGGUUUUCUCUCCUUUUUCUUUAUUUAAAAGUAAAAUCUUGAACUGUUUACUUGCCUCCCUCUUUGUGAUUUGAAGUUCAUUCUGAAUCUUUUGUUGCUAGGAGUCUUGACUAUAAUAUGCUUGAAUUGCAGUUUUUAAAAGAAGCUGGUUGGGCUGAUGGUGGGCGUGUUAUAGCUUGCACGCAACCAAGACGACAAGCUGUGCAGGAAGCUUUGAACUCCUAUUCGUCUGCAUUUUCAUCUUUUUCAAGUGAAUGUAAAUGUAACAUUCAUUUCUAAUCAGAUGUGUGAGUCCAUGCCAUAGCAUAUAAUAUUCGUUGUCCGAGUAACUAACAUAAAAAAUUAUUCAUUUUAUAUUUAAUUUAUGAGCAAACAUGCAUAUAAUAUAAUAUACAAUAUUUCAGUUCAUACCAGUUUACGAAAAUUAUAUUGCUAACAUGAGAUUGAAUUAAGAUCAAAUUGUAAUGAUUUUAAAAUAUGAAGUUGACAUUGUGACUUUAAGAGCUUCUCGUCGUGGUGCAACUUAUUGACUAAAUUUCGUCGUGACGAUAAAAGUCUAACAUCAAGACGUAACCGUCUGUUUCUAAAUGGUAUAAUUUGACGCCUAACAAACUUCACAUAUAAAACCAUUCCAAAUCAACUAUUUCCCAUUUCAGCCAAAUAUACAAGAUUCAAAGGCUUAAUUCCAUACACUACUACCUUAAUCACUAAUGUACUAAUACGAUACAAUGAUUCCAUCAAUACCAUAUAACUUGUAAACUAAAAUCAUAGUAUAAGCCACUCAAGCAUUUGGUAUGAAUAUACAUCUUAAAUUUGACCGUGACCAUUUCCAUGUUAUGCAUUCCAAAUUUUAGCAUACUCAAUUUCAUAAUUCAACUAUGUGACUAAUUUCAAAAACAUUAAUUCUAACUUUAUGAUUAAACAUAAUCACUUAUCGUGUUAUAAAUCGACUCAAUUUAAGUACAUGUCAUAUAUUUAUAUUUAACAAAAAAAUUAUACAAAUUUUGUUGAGUCGAGGAUUGCUUCCUUUACGCUAAAGUUACUUUUCAUAAUCUUGAAGUCCACCUGUACUUGCACACAGAGAAAACAAGCCGUACACUCAAUGAUAACGCUCAAUAAUAUUUUCAUAAUUCAAAUCAUUAUAAUACAAGUUUAAACCAAUUGCAUUCAUUCAAUUCAUAGCCCAUCUUUAUACAAUUUCAUGCCCAACAACUUUCAAUACAAUAUAAACAUGCACAUAAUUAUUUUAAAAAAUUAAUUCACUAUGUAUGCAUACCAACUUGUCAUUUACCAUUCAAUUCACAUACUACCAAAUCAAUUCGCUAUGUAUUCAUCUAUACUUAGAUUUUGCUAAUAUUUUAUGUCUGUCUGUAUGUCUAGAUGUACACGUGUUAUGGGAAUUCCAUUACAAGUAUAUUUUGAUACGUUGCACUACAGUGGAUUUUUGACCUGUUAUUAGUUGUCACUCUGUUUACAUAUGUGUUUCAGGAAAAUUACAAGCAAAAUAUUUCGAUUUUUCUCCACAAGAUCCAUAUAAGAAGGCUGGCUAAUAUAAUUUACACUACAGCUGGAUUUCAUCUAACCGAGAUUAAUCUUUUGUUUUGUCAAUUGUGAGCCUGCAACUGUAUUCCAAUCUCAGAUUCUGUUUGUGAUUUAACCUCAUGAUUCUCCAUGCUUAUAUGAGAUGAACUCCGAUCAUAAUCCCAUGUCUGUGAGCUCCAUUUAUAGAUAACUGGUACUCGGGGUGCUGCCGAAACUUCCCCUCGAACACAAACUUUCCCCUUAUAAAUGCAUUUAGCAACUCUCAUUGCCUUGUUCCAAACACUCUCAUCAACUAGAGACAAGGUACCAGCAUUAUUCUCCUCCUCAUGGUGCCAAUAUCGCUUUAGCGAGUAAGCGAGGAAGAGCAGCAAACAAACAGUAGAUGUGGCCACGGAUAUAAGGAAAAGACCCCAGAAGCUAUGGAUGCUCAAGCUAUUGGUUUUACUUUCCUCGGUUACGUCGGCCGAACACUCCGGUGAAGGAGCAAACCAUUUUUGUUCCAAUGAUAUUAGAGUCCCAUCUUCAGAUAACUUUAAAAUGGCUCUUGAAAAAUCUCUGGCUAUUGGAGAACCUUUCUGAAAUAUCUGCAUAUAUAUAAAGAGUUGCAUUACAUUUAUUUCUAUAAAUUUUUGCAGCAAAGAUUCACCAAGUUAGCAAUAUCAUAUACUCACAAAGCCUAAUCCACCGAAUGUGUAUGUAGGUGCGGUAGUGGUAAAUUUCUUGCAGUAAUGGUUAAGGAAAACUUUCCCAUACGGCACUUCAAGAAAUGCAGCAGCUAUAUGGUUGCUCUUGAAUUCCCCUUCAUAAUUGUAUUCACUGCUAACGUUUUCGAUAUUGUAACUUUUAAACUUGAGGACAUCUUCCAAGUAGGUUCUUACGAACGAAUCACCAUCACACCCGAUUUUCACGUUGGACCGCUUUAGCCAUUCAAUAUCCGUAACAGUCGGUUCUAAUCGUUGCACGGUGAGCAUUGAAGUUAGACUAGCAGUGUAACUAGAGGUUAAGAUCAACGCAACGAAUAGCCAUACUACAACCACAACUCUAGUUAGGUUACUGUAAAUUUUCUCCCCUGAAGAAGGAAAAUAUGAACUGUUUUAGCCUCGGCUAAAUUUUCAUACGUAAAGAAGUAUACAUUUUUGCAGUGGAACUUACUGUGAGCAAAGAAAAUGGAGGAGAAAGUGAACCAAAAUACAGUGCCAAUCUGAUUGUUCCAUGGACCUCUAAAGUCAGGAUUGGACUGGUGUUCUAAGAACCAUACUAUGAACAUUGUGUAGAUUAAGAUGGAACCGGUGACAAACCACAUUUUGGUGGUGAAAGGCUUGAGGAACAUCCAUGCCGAGCUCUCCGGCUUCACCGGAACUAUCAUGGAUAACCCUGAUGCUGCAUAUGGCUGAGUAAAUUCCACUAAAGUUGUUCUAUUAGCUAGUAUAGUUAUGUCACCUACAGCUGCAUCAUAAGUCUUCCAUUGAUUUUGGUAUACACACAUACAAAAAAAAAAAAUUAAUAGAGACAAAACAAGCAUCUAAAUCAAGUAGGUGAGUGUCAUAGUUUCUUUUUCACAUCAUUGUCUAAAUAUCAACUAAAAGUUUGACAAGUUAUCUACGAAAUUCCUGGAAAUAUAAUGGAAUUAUAUAAAAUUUCAGGAAAAACAAAUCAAGGUAAUUAAAAUAAGAACAAGAAGUUUCAGGGCUAUUGCCUUGUUGUUUUACUUUGUUGGCCUUGUUAAAAGGUUGCUUUCACUGUAGCUUGUAAGAAACUCUCAUUUUUUUGUUUAAUAAUGAUAAAUAAAUGGUUCAUUACACUUGAAAUUAUGGUUAAAUUAUAUGAAUAUUUUCUGUCAUAAUCACAAAAAUUGAGAUUAUUAACAAAAAAAAUAUUGAAAAAAAAUGGACCAAGAGACAAAGGGCAUUUUACCUUGUUGUAGACUUUGUGAACAAGUUCAUCAUAUGUGCCAUUGUGGGGAUCAAAUUGAUAAAUUAAAUCAUAAUCGAGAACAGUUAGAACUUCAUAGAAAAGUUCAAUGCAGAAACCAUCAUAUUUCUUUUGGCCUGGAUGUUUACCAUCGUCAACCUUUACAAAUUUCUCAAAUGCGGUUCUUGCUGGAACUCCAAUUAUCAUUGGUUUCUUAUUUGUUGGCAUUGCCCAUCCUUUAGGAACUAGCUUUGAACCAUCUGGCCAAAUGACUGUACCAGUAAAAUCUGCAGAUUUAUUACCAACAUAACCAAUGUUCUUUGAGAAUCCAAUCCCUGGUAACCAGAAAUCCAACUCAUUAUAACUUUUUCCAAUCAAGUUUACAAUCCUUAGUAUAGGAUCAUGUGAUAAUUUGCCUUGUUGAAAGUGAAUUUCGCCGCUUAAACCUGUGAAAUUGCUUGAAAGUAUGUUUUUCAACAACGAAUCUGGACUGUUUUCAUCACUGUCCAUGGCCUGCUUGAUGAUUCCUGUAGAAAAUUGAUCAAUAUUUGGCGUUAAUGCUCGGUUGAAAGUUAUCUUCUUCUGGGUUUUCGUCUCGGAAAGUUCUUCGAAACUGGGGAUAAAACGUUUUGUAAAGAUUAGUACCCUCGUCAUGGUAGGUCUUGAUUCCUAAAAUGCCUUGCAUGGAAGAAAUCACAGAACUGUUAAAAGAAUCGAAGUAAUUCGAGAUGGUAUCCGUAAUGAUCCAAGCUGAGUCUCUUCCAACAAGUCCAAUC
rnacentral:lncRNA from 1 species